GCAGCUGUGGCCCAGUGGACAAAGGCGGGUGCCUGCAAAGCACUUAAUUUAUCGUUGGUUCGAAUCCAACCAGCUGCUCCA
rnacentral:tRNA from 1 species